GUUCCCUACGGGGCGCAGCAGUGGGGAAUAUUGGGCAAUGGGCGCAAGCCUGACCCAGCAACGCCGCGUGAAGGAAGAAGGCUUUCGGGUUGUAAACUUCUUUUCUGGGGGACGAACAAAUGACGGCACCCCAGGAAUAAGCCACGGCUAACUACGUGCCAGCAGCCGCGGUAAUACGUAGGUGGCAAGCGUUAUCCGGAUUUAUUGGGUGUAAAGGGCGUGUAGGCGGGAAUGCAAGUCAGAUGUGAAAACUCAGGGCUCAACCCUGAGCCUGCAUUUGAAACUGUGUUUCUUGAGUGCUGGAG
rnacentral:rRNA from 1 species